rnacentral:lncRNA from 1 species
ACCCACACACGUAUGGAAGGGAGAGAGAGAAACUCUCCUUUCUCUCUCUAAAUCUCUCCCAAAAUGGAUGGAUUUGGUGGAGAUUGAAGCUUGGAGGUGAAUCGCCUUCGUCUUCUUCAUCUUCUCCACCUUGAGGGCAAACUUGUGAGGUAAGCUUUUGCUACCCUUUAAUGGUAGAUCCUUAAUGGUUGGUUUAAAUACCUUAUAAAUGAAUUUAGAGGAAUCCUAGCAUACUAUCUAGAUGAAUGAUGCUUGAUUCAUGAAGGAAUUUGGUGGAUUUUUAUUUAGUUGUAAACCUAGGGUUCAAAAUGCUAGUUUGUGAAAUAUGACGGUUUGAUCUAAUUUAACCCCUUGUAAAUCUAAUUGCUAGAUAAACAAACGCGUUGGCGAAGUCGGUUCGGCGAUUCGUCGAGCCGUUGUAAAGUUAUUAAAGAAACAGACAUUUAGGCUUCGUUUCCGCCUGGAGGGCCGAGGCGACAUCGUAAACCCAUGAAAACGGAUUUGAAGCAUCGUGGCAUAUAGCCGAAGACCUUUAAUUUCCGGAUCGUGGAUUGGAGGCCGUUCGGGUGGUCGCGCGAGAGAUCGGGCCAAACCGAGUGCCGGGUGCCGCGGGAGGCCGAUUGCAAGUGUCGACAAGCAAUCGGAAAGCGAUUUGAGGUGGGUUGUGCUUACCGAAGCGACUAGGUCGCCUAUAUGUCUAAGAGUAAUGGUUUUCUAAUUGAUGCAUAUAGUCGAUGUUACUUACUGUUGAGAUAACAUGCAUAAUGACAUAUAAUGUGUUAAAUGCUAGAUGAAUGCAUGAGUUAAUUGUUACAUGAAUGCAUAAAAAUAAUAUUAUAGUAAUAUGUUAGAGGUAAUAUGCAUGUUGAUAAAUUAUGGAACAUGUUGGAUGGCAUAUGAAUGGUUGGCAUAUAUAUGUAGACAUAUUGUGGAAUAUGAUGAAUGAGUGCAUGUUGAUUUAUUGUAGAAUAUACUAGAUGAAUGUAUAUUGACAUAUUGUGGAUUAUGUUAAAUGACACAUGCAUGUUGAACUUGGGUCGAUAAACUCUAGGUGAAUUAGAGAACUCGACAUUGGAAAACAAUGACAUAUGAACUAUGAUAUGUGACGUGGACAAUCUAUAUAUAUUAGAUCGAGUGGCAUAUGAUUAGUAUAGUGGAAACACUUAUGGCAUGUUGAACACUUAGAAAACAAGUGUGGAAUGAGUCCAAGAAUAUAGUAGUGUAUAUGACACAAGUGAUAGUAAAGAAUGCAAAGAAAAGAAUGAUGAAAAUAUUAUGACAUUUCAACCCUAGAGUUAGGGUCAUUUGAGCAUAGUCUUCCUAAAGUUAAGGAAUGGAUUGAACUUGACAUCCUCAAGAUUUUGGAUUUGAUCAUUGAUCAUACUCACCUUUAGUCAUUGCAAAAGGUUGUGGUAGCUCCCCCUUGGGCGAUGUGCUCCGGAGUCGACAUUACUGGGUUGUAGCGGUUAUCUCCCAAGAGGACGGUCCCACCGGGUUGUAGCGGGUAUCUCCCCGGUUAAUGAAUUUUGGGUUGGUAAGUUUGUUGAGGGCGAAACCUUCGGGUUAGCCAAGUGAUUGGGUAAUAAACUUAUGAGCUAUAGUGAUGUCCUAGUUGAAGGGAUUUAAGGCUGAAGUGCAAGUGAGACGUCCUUCGCCUCGGGCCUGGCUUUGUGCGGUACUCCGCAGACGAUUGACUCAAGACCGAGUCGGGCGGUUAGUUUUGUAAAGAUAGAUGAAACUUUAUGAUUAAAAUGGUAAAUGACAGAAAACCUUAAAUGUCAAUUGGAUGAAAAUAGUAACCGAUUGAAUUACUAGUUGAUUAUGUAGUCGCAUCAUUGCAUGAUCUUCAUAUUGCAUUCGUGAGGCAAUGCAUGGUUUUAUUCGUUGCAUAAUCAAGAUAUAUAUCUAUCUGUUUAUUGAACUAACUUGCAAUUGCCUCCAUUGGACCUAUUGGUCGAGCUUUUUCAUUGGGUGGUUGUACCCACUGGGAACCAUGUUGUUGGUUCUCACCCCACGUGGUUUUAGAGUGUUACAGGUUCACACGUGAGCGGCGCGGCGGCGCGAGGCGAGGGCGUAGCAUCAUAAUUAUCGCCCUACCACCGAGACCAGAGAUAGCGGUACCCUGAGUCGGCUUUACUUAGGGAUGUAAGGAAAUGAAAGGAAUAAGAUUGUAAUAAUCAUGUUAAAUCGGAUUGUAUUUGGAAGUUAAAUAUAAUAAGUAUUGGGAUGUAAAAUGUAUGAAUGUGAAUGUAUGUAAUAACAUAGGAUGUGUUAUGUUAUUUGAUACUUUCCAUUAUGUAAUCUUGAUUGAAAUGUGUUCCUGGUUGGAAUUUCGCACAUUGUAUUGAUUGCGACGCCUUAAAUGUACAGGGGAGACUCUGUCCGCGAUACAGGGGAAACCCUGUCCGUUCGGCGGUCUGUUGCGGCGCCGCGACCCGGACAAAUAGGCGGGCGGUCGCAGGGCGUGACAAAAUAUUUGAUCCUUCUCACGCCCUUGAUUAU